rnacentral:rRNA from 1 species
GACGUAGGUGGCGAACGUUAUCCGGAAUCACUGGGCGUAAAGCGCACGUAGGCGGCUUUCUAAGUCAGGGGUGAAAUCCUGGAGCUCAACUCCAGAACUGCCUUUGAUACUGGAGAGCUUGAGUCCGGAAGAGGUGAGUGGAACUCCGAGUGUAGAGGUGAAAUUCGUAGAUAUUCGGAAGAACACCAGUGGCGAAGGCGGCUCACUGGUCCGGUACUGACGCUGAGGUGCGAAAGCGUGGGGAGCAAACAGG